UGCAAUGGAACGGGCUAUGCUUGGGGUUUCUCUCAAAGAUAAGAUUAGAAAUGAGACUAUCCGCGAGAGAACGAAAUUAACCGACAAAGCUCACAGAAUAAGCAAGUUGAAGUGGCAGUAGCCUGUCCUCUGUGUCGCAAAAUCGAUAGCCAUCGGAACAGACGUGUUCUGGAGUGGAGACCACCUCUUGGCAAACGCAGUGUGGGGUGUCCUCCGGCCCGCUGACGAUCUGCAUGUAACUGUGGUAUUUUAUGGCCUGCGAAGAUGGAGAAAGUUACAGCUGUACGAUAACAUUAGAGAAUAAAAUAAUUGCCAUAACCUACAAAAUGCACUUUUUAUGUAUUUAACUCGUUUUCGGAUGGACGACACAAUUUAUACUUUCUAUUUUUCUCCAACUCAUAACGAUAUUCGAAAAUGAAAGUGACUUUAAUUAUUCCGAUGAGUAAAUAAAAGAUUCUUUAUAUAGAG